rnacentral:rRNA from 1 species
AGUGAACGCUGGCGGUAGGCCUAACACAUGCAAGUCGAACGGCAGCACAGUAAGAGCUUGCUCUUACGGGUGGCGAGUGGCGGACGGGUGAGGAAUACAUCGGAAUCUACUUUUUCGUGGGGGAUAACGUAGGGAAACUUACGCUAAUACCGCAUACGACCUACGGGUGAAAGAAGGGGAUCUUCGGACCUUGCGCGAUUGAAUGAGCCGAUGUCGGAUUAGCUAGUUGGCGGGGUAAAGGCCCACCAAGGCGACGAUCCGUAGCUGGUCUGAGAGGAUGAUCAGCCGCACUGGAACUGAGACACGGUCCAGACUCCUACGGGAGGCAGCAGAGGGGAAUAUUGGACAAUGGGCGCAAGCCUGAUCCAGCCAUACCGCGUGGGUGAAGAAGGCCUUCGGGUUGUAAAGCCCUUUUGUUGGGAAAGAAAAGCAGCAGGUUAAUACCCCGCUGUUCUGACGGUACCCAAAGAAUAAGCACCGGCUAACUUCGUG